rnacentral:piRNA from 1 species
UGGUGUGAUGUUGCUGCUAUC